rnacentral:rRNA from 2 species
CCUACGGGAGGCAGCAGUAGGGAAUCUUCCACAAUGGACGAAAGUCUGAUGGAGCAACGCCGCGUGAGUGAAGAAGGUUUUCGGAUCGUAAAACUCUGUUGUAAGGGAAGAACACGUACGAGAGUAACUGCUCGUACCUUGACGGUACCUUAUUAGAAAGCCACGGCUAA